GAAGAGACAGCGCCGCCGGCCGUGGGGAGCGGACGCAGUGAUUUGCUCCCCCUCGUGCAGCAACCCCCACACCCAGCACCAGGCCCCCAGAACUCUCCUUCCAGCUGAACUCCCUGGGAACAAGUCAGUUGGGCUGAUCACUGAACUCACAUUUCUGGACCUGAGGAGCCUGUUCCUCUCACGCCCUCACCUGGCUGAGCCGCAGUAGUUCUUCAGUGGCAAGCUUUAUGUCCUGACCCAGCUAAAGCUGCCAGUUGAAGAACUGUUGCCCUCUGCCCCUGGCUUCGAGGAGGAGGAGGAGCUGCUUUCCCCAUCAUCUGGAAGGUGACAGAAAUGGGCUGGGAAGGUCCGAACAGCAGGGUGGAUGAUACGUUUUGGGCAAGUUGGAGAGCCUUUGCCCAGAUUGGCCCAGCAAGGAGCGGUUUUAGAUUAGAGACACUGGCUGGAUUGAGGAGUAGAAGGCUCAAACAACCCAAGGCUUUCUGCCUCCGAGAUGUGGCACCAUAGUGCGGUGCCCUGUGGCUUCACCGCCCUACUUCCACCUCCGCCCAGCCUGUAAUGUUUAUAUAAGCAGCCUCAAGGACCAAGAACCAUCUGCGAAAGGACACACACAGGAAAUUCAUAAAAGAAAUCUGAAUGGAUAAAACCAUGAAAAAAAGUAUGCUUCAUUAGUAAUUAAAGAAAGGCAAAUAGAGCUGGAAGCAUUUUUCCCUUAGCAAACCAUAACAGAAAAAAAUAAGACCCAAUAUUGGCAAAGAGACUACUGAAAAAACAUUCCCAUACAUUGCGUGUGGGAGUAUACAUCGGUGCAGGCUUCCUGGAUGACAGUUGGGUGAUAUGUGUCAUGUGGCCUAAAAGCCUCCAUGUCAUUUGACCUACGAAUUCUAUCUUUGGGAAUUUAUCCUAAGAAAAUACUUAAGGAUUUAGUUAGUGAUAAGAUGUUCAUCCCAGCAUUGCAAUGGAGAAAAAUGGGAAGCAAUGGUUUGGUUGGGAAUUUAUUCCUUUUCUGCUGUAACGAAAGUUUGCAAUAGGGGAUUGCUUAAGUAAAUUAUUGUAUCUCCAUCCAGAUGGUGGAGUACCGCGCAGACAUUAAAAGUCAUGUAAAAGAACAUCUGACUGAAAGAAAAAUGCUCCUUGAAUAUUAAAAGGUUGUAAAAAUAGUGCAUGUUAUGUGAUUUCAAUUUUGUUUUUUAAAAUAUGGGUGUAUGCUUGUAUACGUAGAGCAGAUAAAAAAGACGGAAGGCAUACUAAAAAAUGUUGAGUGGUUAUCUUUGUAUGGUGGAACAAAGUCACUGUAAUUUUCAUCUUUGGUUUUUCUGUAAUUUCCAAAUUUUCCACAUUUUGUAUUUCAUAUAAUAUAAUUUA
rnacentral:lncRNA from 1 species